UGGGGGGAUAUUGCACAAUGGAGGAAACUCUGAUGCAGCAACGCCGCGUGAGGGAAGAAGGUUUUCGGAUUGUAAACCUCUGUUUUUAGUGAAGAAACAAAUGACGGUAGCUAAAGAGGAAGCCCCGGCUAACUACGUGCCAGCAGCCGCGGUAAUACGUAGGGGGCAAGCGUUAUCCGGAUUUACUGGGUGUAAAGGGAGCGUAGACGGAACGGCAAGUUUGAAGUGAAAUACCUGGGCUUAACCCGGGAACUGCUUUGAAAACUGUCGAUCUAGAGUGUCGGAGAGGUAAGUGGAAUUCCUGGUGUAGUAGUGAAAUGCGUAGAUAUCAGGAAGAACACCGGAGGCGAAGGCGGCUUACUGGACGAUAACUGACGUUGAGGCUCGAAAGCGUGGGGAGCAAACAGGAUUAGAUACCCUGGUAGU
rnacentral:rRNA from 1 species